GACGAACCGUACGAACGUUAUCCGGAAUCACUGGGCUUAAAGGGUGCGUAGGCGGCGCGACAAGGUGGGUGUGAAAUCCCUCGGCUCAACCGAGGAACUGCGCCCUAAACUGUCGUGCUCGAGGGAGACAGAGGUGAGCGGAACUUAGGGUGGAGCGGUGAAAUGCGUUGAUAUCCUAAGGAACACCGGUGGCGAAAGCGGCUCACUGGGUCUCUUCUGACGCUGAGGCACGAAAGCUAGGGUAGCGAACGGG
rnacentral:rRNA from 1 species